GACGAACGCUGGCGGCGUGCUUAACACAUGCAAGUCGAACGGUGAAGCGCCUUCCUUGUUGGUGGGUGUGGAUGAGAGGCGAACGGGAGAGUAACACGUGAGUAACCUGCCCCCUUCUUUUGGAUAACCGCAUGAAAGCGUGGCUAAUACGGGAUAUUCUGGGGCUGUCGCAUGAUGGGUCUGGGACGGCUAUUGGUUCGGUGGGGGAUGGGCUCGCGGCCUAUCAGCUUGUUGGGGUGGUGAUGGGCUACCAGGGGGGUGACGGCUAGCCGGCCUGGGAGGGUAGCCGGUCUCACAGGGUCUGCGGCACCGUCCAGACUGCGACGGGAGGCAGCAGUCGGGAAUAGUGCACAAUGGGCGAAAGCCUGAUGCAGCGACGCCGCGUGAGGGAUGGAGGCCUUCGGGUUGUGAACCUCUUUCGCCAGUGAAGCAGGCCUGCCUCGUUUGUGGGUUGGUUGACGGUAGCUGGUUAAGAAGCGCCGGCUAACUACGUG
rnacentral:rRNA from 1 species